GACGAACGCUGGCGGCGUGCUUAACACAUGCAAGUCGAACGCGCCUGUCCUCUGGGUUUCUGGGGGGUGGGUAAGUGGCGAACGGGUGAGUAACACGUGAGUAACCUGCCCCCUUCUUCGGGAUAACGGUCUGAAAGGGCUGCUAAUACCGGGUAUUCACUGGUCUCCGCAUGGGGUCUGGUGGAAAGGUUUUUUUCUGGUGGGGGAUGGGCUCGCGGCCUAUCAGCUUGUUGGUGGGGUGAUGGCCCACCAAGGCUUUGACGGGUAGCCGGCCUGAGAGGGUGACCGGUCACAUUGGGACUGAGAUACGGCCCAGACUCCUACGGGAGGCAGCAGUGGGGAAUAUUGCACAAUGGGCGCAAGCCUGAUGCAGCGACGCCGCGUGAGGGAUGGAGGCCUUCGGGUUGUGAACCUCUUUCGCCCGUGGUCAAGCCGCGACGUGGGUCGUGGUGAGGGUAGUGGGUAAAGAAGCGCCGGCUAACUACGUG
rnacentral:rRNA from 1 species